rnacentral:rRNA from 1 species
AUUGAACGCUGGCGGCAUGCCUUACACAUGCAAGUCGAACGGUAACGCGGGGCAACCUGGCGACGAGUGGCGAACGGGUGAGUAAUGCAUCGGAACGUGCCCAGUAGUGGGGGAUAGCCCGGCGAAAGCCGGAUUAAUACCGCAUACAACCUACGGGUAAAAGCGGGGGAUCGCAAGACCUCGCGCUAUUGGAGCGGCCGAUGUCAGAUUAGGUAGUUGGUGGGGUAAAGGCCCACCAAGCCUUCGAUCUGUAGCUGGUCUGAGAGGACGACCAGCAACACUGGGACUGAGACACGGCCCAGACUCCUACGGGAGGCAGCAGUGGGGAAUUUUGGACAAUGGGCGCAAGCCUGAUCCAGCCAUGCCGCGUGCGGGAAGAAGGCCUUCGGGUUGUAAACCGCUUUUGUCAGGGAAGAAACGCUCCGGGCUAAUACCCUGGGGUAAUGACGGUACCUGAAGAAUAAGCACCGGCUAACUACGUGCCAGCCGCCGCUGUAACAC